UACGAGGGGUGCAAGCGUUGCUCGGAAUUAUUGGGCGUAAAGGGUAGGUAGGUGGUCUCGUUUGUCUGGGGUGAAAGCCUUGAGCUUAACUCAAGAAGUGCCCCAGAAACGGCGAGACUGGAGUCCUGGAGAGGGUCGUGGAAUUCCCGGUGUAGCGGUGAAAUGCGCAGAUAUCGGGAGGAACACCGGUGGCGAAGGCGGUUCUCUGGGCCUUACCUGACGCUGAGGAGCGAAAGCGUGGGGAGCGAACAGG
rnacentral:rRNA from 1 species